UCGCCCGCCGCGCCCCGCGCCCGUCCCGCCGCCCCCGCCCGCUCCUACGGGAGGCAGCAGUGAGGAAUAUUGGUCAAUGGGCGGGAGCCUGAACCAGCCAAGCCGCGUGAGGGAAUAAGGCCCUACGGGUCGUAAACCUCUUUUGUCGGGGAACAAAAGCGGGGACGCGUCCCCGUCUGCGUGUACCCGAAGAAAAAGCAUCGGCUAACUCCGUGCCAGCAGCCGCGGUAAUACA
rnacentral:rRNA from 1 species